rnacentral:rRNA from 1 species
CAAUAGCGUAUAUUUAAGUUGUUGCAGUUAAAAAGCUCGUAGUUGGAUUCCGGAUGGGAUUUGCCGGUCCGUCGUUACGAUGUGCACUGGCCAGUCCUAUCUUGUUGUCGGGGACUAGCUCCUUGGAUUCACUUCCUGGGACUAGGAGCUGACGAGGUUACUUUGAGUAAAUUAGAGUGUUCAAAGCAAGCCUACGCUCUGAAUACAUUAGCAUGGAAUAACACGAUAGGACUCUGGCUUAUCUUGUUGGUCUGUGAGACCAGAGUAAUGAUUAAGAGGGACAGUCGGGGACAUUCGUAUUUCAUUGUCAGAGGUGAAAUUCUUGGAUUUAUGAAAGACGAACUUCUGCGAAAGCAUUUGUCAAGGAUGUUUUCAUUAA